UGAUCUUGGUGUUUAAUAGCAAACUAUUGAAUAAGUAAAAAAACAUUAUGAAGAACCUAUGGCCCUUUGCAUCAUUUUAUGAGAUUCCUAAUUAAUUUAAGAUACACUGAACGCUUCAAGUGUGUGUCUUCUGUCUGCAUUUAGGCAACAUGGAGGUGGGGGAUGCAGCUCCUUGGCCGCCGUUCACCACUAGAGUCUGCACCUGUCAGGCACACAGCAGACACAGGUAUGCUUGUUAAAGAAUAGAGAAUUUGCUUUAUUUUCCUAGGCACAUGUUAUAAAUUCUCCCUGUUUCCCUUAUUUAACAGUGGUUUCUAUAGAAUUUUUUCUCAUGGAGAAAGUUCUCAUCUAUAAGCUGAACUUCCAGAAUGCCAGAGUGAGAUGCUGAAGGAUGGGAAGUCCAAAGGAGAUGAGAUGCCAAGAGAAGGUGAUGCCCUUUCCUUUCCUGUUGGAUACUGUUAGGCAAGGCUGCCAAAGGCUAAUAGCCCCCUCUGAGCUGGAAUACACCAUGACCAAGAAGCAGGUGAACCCACCUGCCUCCUCCAUUAUAAUAAAGGUGGUCUCAGGGAUCGGUGGCCAAAUGAAGUUCAGCUACUCCCACACAAGUGCUCUGACACCAUGAAGAAGAGAAAGGGAAGUGUGCGCUCUUGUUGCCAUGGUG
rnacentral:lncRNA from 1 species